rnacentral:misc_RNA from 1 species
CCGAGUGAGGGCUGCCUCCGGGCGCCCAACCUCCCACCCGUGAAUACCUUACCACUGUUGCUUCGGCGAGGAGCCCCUUCCGGGGGGCGAGUCGCCGGGGACCACAUGAACUUCUUGAUUGUAGAGUUGCGUCUGAGCCUGAAAUAUAAAUCAGUCA